rnacentral:lncRNA from 1 species
GCUUUUGAUUCAAGAUGAUGUUGAGGGUCUUCAGGUUUUGAAGGAUGGACAUUGGGUCACUGUUCAGCCCUUAUCUGAAGCUGUUGUUGUCAUUUUGUCUGAUCAAACUCAGGUAUCGAUUUACCCUUUCCACACGUUUAUGUUUUUCAUUAGCUAUAUGCAUUUGUUUGUACAAAAUUGUGUCAGUCAUGUGAGAUCUGUGGCAUUACUGGAGUAUUGUGAUCCUUGUCGAAUGAUUCUGAGCUAUAUGUCAGGACUCUUCUGCAGUUCUUGCUUUGCUAGGAAGUUUCUGUUGUGAUGCAUGGGAGGUAUAUGCAAGUAGAAAUAAAUU